rnacentral:rRNA from 1 species
ACUAGUGAUUCUCGCAUCGAUGAAGAACGCAGCGAAAUGCGAUAAGUAAUGUGAAUUGCAGAAUUCAGUGAAUCAUCGAAUCUUUGAACGCACAUUGCGCCCGCCAGCAUUCUGGCGGGCAUGCCUGUUCGAGCGUCAUUUCAACCCUCGAGCUCGUCUUCAUUGACGGGAUCGGUGUUGGGACCCGGCGAGCGGGGGCUUUUGUCCUCUGCCGGCCCCGAAAUUCAGUGGCGGCCCGUUGCGGCGACCUCUGCGUAGUAACUCAACCUCGCACCGGUAACAGCAUCGUGGCCACGCCGUAAAACCCCCGACUUUUAUAAGGUUGACCUCGAAUCAGGUAGGACUACCCGCUGAACUUAAGCAUAUCAAUAAGCGGAGGAA